AACGCGAAGAACCUUACCUGGGCUUGACAUGGGGGUGAAAGGUCGCAGAGAUGUGAUCCCUUCCGCAAGGAACACCCUACACAGGUGCUGCAUGGUUGUCGUCAGCUCGUGUCGUGAGAUGUUAGGUUAAGUCCUGCAACGAGCGCAACCCUCGCCCUUAGUUGCCAUCAGGUAAUGCUGGGAACUCUAAGGGGACCGCCUGGUUUAACCAGGAGGAAGGUGGGGAUGACGUCAAAUCCUCAUGGCCCUUACGUCCAGGGCUAGACACGUGCUACAAUGGUAGAUACAGCGGGAUGCAAGCUGGUGACAGCAAGCCAAUCCCUUAAAAUCUAUCUCAGUCCGGAUUGAAGUCUGCAAUUCGACUUCAUGAUGCUGGAAUCGCUAGUAAUCGCGGAUCAGCAUGCCGCGGUGAAUACGUUCCCGGGUCUUGUACACACGC
rnacentral:rRNA from 1 species